CGGCUCUGUUUGGCAAGGCCAAGCAUUAGUGCUGCAAACGAGACCCCGCCCGGCCGCACGAAUACGCCCGGCCCACUGGGAUACGCGAGCCAUAAACUCCUCUGCAGCGGGUGUGCGCCUCUGGUAUUGUAACUUCUUGUCAUUGACACACUAACUCUUCCACCCGCCGCCUUGUCCAAGCUUCGUUUGGUAGACUGUAUAGCAGGCCCCACCCAUUCGAUAAAAGACCACGCCCACCACCCGGACCUUCCCGCUCGACCACGCCCCCUCGCGGCGCACUCCAGACCCUCCGGGUCUCAACUCUUUGUAGGGACUUAAGGGUGAAAUCUGUUACUUGGAGUUAAGGAGUCGCUAAGGUGGCUGUGCAGGGAAGGCAGAAUGUCACAGAGGAUCGCCACCAUCGCAUCCCGCUUAGGUUGUCGGGGAAUCCUGCUUGUAAUGGCUGCGGCUUCUUGGACUCCUGUUUGUGCAGGCAUUGGGAAGAGAAAACAAUCCCUUAAAGGCUAAGGCUAGCGUCACUCCGCAAGACCGAACUUUCCAGAAGCACCGGAAACUGAGUGGAGAGGGAAGAAUAUCUGAGAGAGGCCAGAAACACUGUCGGAAGGCUCCAGAAACAUUUCUCCAGUGAGCAGGUGCUUUCUGCCUACACAGUGUUUUUAGAAGGAUUUUGGUUGUUUGUUUUGUUUGUUUGUUUGUUUUAAUUGGGGUCCAGAGGAUCCUACUCCGUCAGGCUUGGUGACAACUGCCUUUACCUACUGGGUCAUCUCUCCCACUCUCUUAAACACAGUUUUUCCUAAUGCAAAAAUUAAUUAAGUUUGUCUAUUCGCUUUUAUCAGUUUGGCGGAUUAGAAACAGCAAAUUAGAAAUGGCAGUGCCAGGAGCGACAGAGGCAAGGUGAGGAGAGGCAGCUGAGGCUGAGACAAAAAGCUUUGGACCACUCAGGGUCCUCUGUCACCCAGUACAAUCCUGCAUUCAGGAAAUAGGCACUGCUUUCUUAGCAGGAUAAAACGGGCUUUCAAAAGACCAGACGUGCCUUCUUGAAGAGAUGAAGACGACAGUUUGAGUGGACUGCGCGCUCUCAGCUGGGCAGAUUAUUAGGGACGCUGUAAGGGGGAGGACGGGUUUAAAGCCAGGCUGCUCGGAGGGGAGCCACUCUACCUGGCCCAGCACUUGACUCCACCCAUCUGGAGAUCCUGCCGGCCCCGCCCACGCACCAGGCGGCUCCACCCAACACCAGAAGGGCCAGCCCGCUUUGCCCACUGUGCACGUGGCCCCGCCCCUCACCUCCAGGUCCACACCAAGCGGUGCCCUCAGGUUCGCACGCACUUACAUGGUUCAUCAGAGCACCUGAAGCCCUCUCCCUACUUUCCACACACGGGGCCUGCUCAAUCAUGCCGGUGGCCAUACCCAAACAUCAAGAGUCCGCACGUCCCCGCCCCAACGCCAUCCCACGGCUCAUCCAACAAUCAGGGGUGAGUCCAACGCCAAGAUUCCCCAGCCCUCAGGCAGCAUCGGGAGGCCUCACACCGGAGCUCACCGUCCCACCCUCUGCCCGCCGGCCUCCCUAGACUGUCACCUGAG